GGUCCAGCUCUUUCUGCCCACAGCUGCCGCUUACAGCUGCGUGAGUCGGCUGGGCGAGCUGGGCCUCGUGGAGUUCAGAGACCUCAACGCCUCGGUGAGCGCCUUCCAGAGACGCUUUGUGGUUGAUGUUCGGCGCUGCGAGGAGCUGGAGAAGACCUUCACUUUCCUGCAGGAGGAGGUGCGGCGGGCUGGGCUGGUCCUGCCCCCGCCUGAGGGGAGGCUGCCGGCACCACCACCUCGGGACCUGCUGCGCAUCCAGGAGGAGACGGAGCGCCUGGCCCAGGAGCUGCGGGAUGUGCGGGGCAACCAGCAGGCCCUGCGGGCCCAGCUGCACCAGCUGCAGCUCCACGCCGCCGUGCUGGGCCAGGGCCAUGAACCUCAGGUCAGCUCCCGCCCAGGCAGGAGACUGGGGGGCUGGGGAGGGGCUGUCCGGCCGGGGGCUCA
rnacentral:lncRNA from 1 species